rnacentral:lncRNA from 1 species
UUGAAUUACGUAGCGCUCGCAGGCUCGUAACAUUCGUCAUGCUGCCGCAACGUCGUGUGAUCGUGCGAAGGAAGCCGUGAACCACAUGGAAAAUUUGAAGAAAAUAUCUCAUUUUCAACGGUUUUAAACAAAUUACAACAGAAUACAAGGUAAAAUGAGUGAACUUCCCCAGUCUUCUAGCAUUGUCCAGAAAUCAUUAUUGUACCACACAUUUGAAUUCGGUCAGAUAGCUGGUUCGUUGACCCCGUAUACGAUAUGGAAGAUUCUAAUAACAAUCCAAACUAUAUCCUAUAUAUGGCUACUUCGUGGAUGUUCGGGAAAAUGGGGAAACGAAUAUGUAUAAAGUAAACGAUGUAUGCCUCAAAAUUUAUGAUUGGCAAAGCGAAAACGUGAAUGAAAAUUGAAAAUCACAAGGCCCUUGCAUUUGUAAUAUACAUUGGAAAUCGUUUGGAUAUUCAAGACGAAAUGACAAUAAGUAAUCGACGAAAGACCUUAAUGAUAAUUCAUCAUGCAUGUAUGGCUUAAAACAUGCAAGGCAAGCAGCAGGUUUGGGAAAACGUAAUUACAUGCAUCUAGACGCUAUACUCAUACAGUUGUUUGAUGGAGAGCAAGGCAGAAGUUCGACUCACGAGGCAUGCAAGGUGUUGCUUUGUCAAGAUAUCGAUUACUAUAUCAUGAUAUCGAUGAUGACUUGGUGCAGGUUAGGGAAACAUUUUUAUACACGCUGAAAUCCCAUAUUUUUGGGCAUGAUGAAAAGAAGGAUCGCAAGUAAAAAAAAGUUUAAGGUCGAUAAACGAAAACGCAGAAUUUCGAAGAAAUUCCAGAAUUUCCAGGAAGAAUCAUUCAGUACCCUAAAACAGAUAUUCUGAGAUCAUUAUGCUGUAUGCUCUAUUUUUAUAUCCCAAAGCAACAACAUUGCCGAUUGUAGAUGAACCUUCCUACUGUGGUAAAGUUCUUACUCUUUUUGUGCAAAGUUGUUGCUGCCUGGUAGAGUAACGAGAGUUUACAUAAUGAUGGUCAAAUUAUGUGCGCUUUAUGCCAGCUCGUUGGCUAUUCCCAUGGUUUAUUUACUUGCUAUAUAUGUGUAAAGCUUAAUAUGUGCUGGUUCCUAAAACAUAUUUAUUGUAUGUAGCCAGUAUGUUGCUUUAACAAUUUAAUAAUUUUGCUACACGUCUGACCCAAUACGCUUAUUCAGUUCUAUCUUGUGGAUCAGUGUAUAAAAUGUAUCAACAGUCCCUUGAAAGCCCUUUCUAAAUCUAAAAUGUACUCGACGAACUAACUUAACACUCUGUGCCCUUAUUAUAUUCUAUAUUAUAUUAUAUUCUGUAUGU